rnacentral:rRNA from 1 species
UACGGAGGAUCCAAGCGUUAUCCGGAUUUAUUGGGUUUAAAGGGUGCGUAGGUGGGCAGGUAAGUCAGCGGUGAAAUCUCCGAGCUUAACUCGGAAACUGCCAUUGAUACUAUCUGUCUUGAAUAUCCUGGAGGUGAGCGGAAUAUGUCAUGUAGCGGUGAAAUGCUUAGAUAUGACAUAGAACACCAAUUGCGAAGGCAGCUCACUACGGGAUCAUUGACACUGAGGCACGAAAGCGUGGGGAUCAAACAGG